rnacentral:misc_RNA from 1 species
CUGUAAUCUUAGAGUAUCAUGGCUGAUUCGAAGAAGGACAACAAGAAGACCGAGGAGGUCGUCACCCAGGGUACGGACCAGGCCCAGGUUGGCCUGAUCAUCAAGGUUCUGGGCCGCACCGGCUCUCGCGGCAACGUGACCCAGGUGCGCGUGCGCCUGAUGGCCGAGGCCGGCUCCCCGGACUACAACCGCACGAUCGUGCGCAACGUGAAGGGCCCAUGCAAGGAGAACGACAUGCUCUCUCUCAUGGAAACCGAGCGUGAGGCCCGCCGUCUCCGUUAAGAUCAUGCCACGCAUCUUAGCAGCAGCAGCAGCAGCAGCAGCAGCCAUGUGUGUGUGUGAAGGGCUGUGCAAUUCAUUUCGUUUCUCGUUUUCGUUCUCGUGAUUUCCCAGAAAAAAAAAAAAAACAUCGAAAAAAAAGGUUGAGGCUCGGAGGAAUCGAUGGCGAUGUUCGAGUGCGCUUUUCUCUCCGUUUGUGAAGCUAGACAUCAGGCAGCGACACGGCACAGGGCAUGCGCACUCGCCGCGUUUCUGUCACCACACAGAAGGAGAGCCCAUCAAGAUAGCGGCUCACCUCGUCAUCCCUCUGCGUUUGCGUACCUUUUUCGAAUUCGGUUUCCAAGGAGCUUGUGUCGGUGCGCGCUUGUUGUGAGCAAGUGGGUAAGUAGACCUGAGCGAGGAAAACGCUGCAGUUGCGUGUGCCGCGUCUUCUCUCCCUCUUUCUCUCCACCUCCUCGACCAACACACACACAAACACAUUGCACAAGCACCCCUCCUCUCCCAUUAUCCGUUGUUCUCCAUCACGUGUCACGCUGCACCAUCUCCCUUUCCUCCUGGCCUUUCUGCUGCUCAUACAUAUUGGAAUGUCUCUCGCCCCCACUCCCGAUUUCUUCUAUCACAAG